CAAUAGCGUAUAUUAAAGUUGUUGCGGUUAAAAAGCUCGUAGUUGGAUUUCUGCUGAGAACGACCGGUCCGCCCUUUGGGUGUGUAUCUGGCUCUUUCUUGGCAUCUUCUUGGUGAACGUUGCUGCACUUGACUGUGUGGAGCGCUACCCAGGACUUUUACUUUGAGGAAAUUAGAGUGUUUCAAGCAGGCAUACGCCUUGAAUACAUUAGCAUGGAAUAAUAAGAUAGGACCUCGGUUCUAUUUUGUUGGUUUCUAGAGCUGAGGUAAUGAUUAAUAGGGAUAGUUGGGGGCAUUCGUAUUUAACUGUCAGAGGUGAAAUUCAUGGAUUUGUUAAAGACGGACUACUGCGAAAGCAUUUGCCAAGGAUGUUUUCAUUGA
rnacentral:rRNA from 1 species